rnacentral:lncRNA from 13 species
UGGCCUUAGAUUAUAGGAGCUUGUCUCCAAGCUUCAGACUGGUAAAGGCAACUGGACAGGCUAACACAGGAACCAAAGGCACAAUGCAAGAACGAUCUCAUACGGAAUUUCUGGAAGUAUGUCACAGAGCCGAUUGAAACAACAGCAAGAAUUAGACAGGGUCUUGGUCUGUCACCAGGCUGGAGUGGAGUGGAGUGAGAGCAAAGCUCACUGCAGCUUCAAACUCCUGGGCCCAAGCGAU